rnacentral:rRNA from 1 species
UUCUAUGGCCAUGCCACCCUGGAAACUGAGCAGGGUUGGGUCUGCUUAGUACUUAGAUGGGAGAAAAUGCAGGGCUAGCCCUGAGCAGGUAGAUGUGUGUUGGAGAAA